CAUGCAUGGUGAAGGAAUGGGUGGGUUACUUCGUAACAAUAUGCAAAGAAUGUCAUCAAAUUCUAUAGAAUCUAGAUUCGGAGCACUCAUAAGAGAGAGGAAUGUGAGAUAAUAUAAAAAAUAUUACGAAGACAUGGAGAAAGCGUCCAUUUCGGAUUAGUUAGCAUGCACGGAGCAAAGAGCUGAAGAUCUCAGCAGCAAAUAUAGGAAGAUCUCAACUGAAUGGGAC
rnacentral:lncRNA from 1 species